AGUGAACGCUGGCGGUAGGCCUAACACAUGCAAGUCGAACGGCAGCACAGUAAGAGCUUGCUCUUACGGGUGGCGAGUGGCGGACGGGUGAGGAAUACAUCGGAAUCUACUUUUUCGUGGGGGAUAACGUAGGGAAACUUACGCUAAUACCGCAUCCGACCUACGGGUGAAAGCAGGGGAUCUUCGGACCUUGCGCGAUUGAAUGAGCCGAUGUCGGAUUAGCUAGUUGGCGGGGUAAAGGCCCACCAAGUCGACGAUCCGUAGCUGGUCUGAGAGGAUGAUCGGCCACACUGGAACUGAGACACGGUCCAGACUCCUACGAGAGGCAGCAGUGGGGAAUAUUGGACAAUGGGCGCAAGCCUGAUCCAGCCAUACCGCGUGGGUGAAGAAGGCCUUCGGGUUGUAAAGCCCUUUUGUUGGGAAAGAAAAGCAGCAGGUUAAUACCCCGCUGUUCUGACGGUACCCAAAGAAUAAGCACCGGCUAACUUCGUG
rnacentral:rRNA from 1 species